rnacentral:miRNA from 1 species
AUCUUACUUGUAGGAUCCCGA